AAGAUCUCUACGAAGGUUGGAAGAUGUAACAACAGGGGCCAUAGAUUCCGAGCUGGAGUCUUGAACCCUUCAAGGUCUUCGAGUAAUCCGAGCUAGGCAAGGGUUCCUACGUUGUAGUUUUACCGUUCCCAAUCAUGCAUCCAAAAACUCUUGUUUACUUUCUUAUUGUUUUUUAAAAUUUAAAUUUUAUUCUGUUUCAACUUUUAACCUCCAUAAAUACUUUUAAUUAUUUAACUUCUUAAUGUUAACCUCAUUUGAUUUUUAUUUUCAUUGCCAUACUUAGAUUAGACAGGAAUUUGAAUUUAUGCUGACCAGAACGUAAAUGUAAACUAUAUAAAUUUUUUUCAUUGGAUAUGAGAUAAAAUAUAAAGCCCUUGUUCUAAUUUGGAUUACAUGAAUGGAUAGUAUAUUGUUAAUUUUUUGUGGUUUGAUUUGCUAUUAUAGGAUGAUAUAAUAGGAAUUGGCAAGUUGGAGACAUAGCAACUCUAAUCGACAACGUUGGAGGCGCUGCCAUGUACUCCACUAUUGACCGUUUAAAAGUCACUUUUGAUUUUAACAUUUCAUAUUACUCGACGGCUAGGAUUAGGUUUUUUUUUUAAGUAUUUUAUUGUUUAGUACUAAUGUACUAAUGUGUCAAGCAUUGAAAUUUAAGUCCGAUCUUGUGCAAUCACGUGGAAUUUAAAUCUAAUAUCACGUGGUCUUAAAUUUUGAAAAUAAAACUUAAAUAAAUCUUAAUUAAAAUUAACAAAAAUGAAAGUUGAGAUAAGAUAAA
rnacentral:lncRNA from 1 species